rnacentral:lncRNA from 1 species
UAGGGCUCAAAAAUGCAAUUUUUGCUAAUAGAUGGGUUUGAUCUAUUUUGACCCUAUGUAAAGCUAAUUGCUAGGUAACGAAACGCGUUGGCGAAGACGGAUCGGCAAUCCGACGAGCCGUUACAAAGUUAUUAAAGAAACGAACGUUUAGGCUUCGUUUCCGCCUGGAGGGCCGAGGCGACGUCGUAAAAUCAUGAAAACGGAUUUAAAGCACCGUGGCACAUAACCGAAGACCUUUAAUUUCCGGAUCGUAAAUCGGAGAUCGUUUGGGUGGUCGCGCGAGAGUUCGAGCCAAA